CCUACGGGGAGCAGCAGUGGGGAAUAUUGGACAAUGGGCGAAAGCCUGAUCCAGCCAUGCCGCGUGUGUGAAGAAGGCCUUCGGGUUGUAAAGCACUUUCAGUGGGGAAGAAAGCCUUGGGGCUAAUACCCUCGAGGAAGGACAUCACCCACAGAAGAAGCACCGGCUAACUCCGUGCCAGCAGCCGCGGUAAUACGGAGGGUGCGAGCGUUAAUCGGAAUUACUGGGCGUAAAGCGCGCGUAGGCGGUGUGAUAAGCCGGUUGUGAAAGCCCCGGGCUCAACCUGGGAACGGCAUCCGGAACUGUCAGGCUAGAGUGCAGGAGAGGAAGGUAGAAGUCCCGGUGUAGCGGUGAAAUGCGUAGAGAUCGGGAGGAAUACCAGUGGCGAAGGCGGCCUUCUGGACUGACACUGACGCUGAGGUGCGAAAGCGUGGGUAGCAAACAGGAUUAGAUACCCGGGUAGUC
rnacentral:rRNA from 1 species